rnacentral:misc_RNA from 1 species
GAUGAAGAACGCAGCGAAAUGCGAAAAGUAGUGUGAAUUGCAGAAUUCAGUGAAUCAUCGAAUCUUUGAACGCACAUUGCGCCCGCUGGUAUUCCGGCGGGCAUGCCUGUUCGAGCGUCAUUUCAACCCUCAAGCCCCCGGGUUUGGUGUUGGGGAUCGGCUCUGCCCUUCUGGGCGGUGCCGCCCCCGAAAUACAUUGGCGGUCUCGCUGCAGCCUCCAUUGCGUAGUAGCUAACACCUCGCAACUGGAACGCGGCGCGGCCAUGCCGUAAAACCCCAACUUCUGAAUGUUGACCUCGGAUCAGGUAGGAAUACCCGCUGAACUUAAGCAUAUCAAUAAGCGGAGGA